GAGGGCUUAGUUAAAACAUAACAUUACUUUGUCAAAGUAAAAUUACUAGUUAAACCCCUGUAUCCCUCU
rnacentral:tRNA from 1 species